UGAACCCUAAUCGAGUUUGGAGUCCUCGCCUUCGUCCUCCCUGUCUCCAUCGGCGCCGAGCGUGACGAAACAGAUGCUGUAACGGAUGCGUGUUUACUCCGAAUGUCUUAAAUUCGUGUGUCUGAUACGAUCUCUUCGGUUGUGCUGCUCAUACGUCGGUGUGUGUUGUAAAUAGGUUCGUAUCUCACUCUGUUUUUUUUUUCUUGAUCCCUUAAUCUCUCUGCUAUCUAUGUAUUAGAGCACUCCUAGAAUAGAAAUGAAGAUCGCUCCCCCCUCUGAACAACAAAUGAAUCCGACAUAAACAAGAAAGAAACCCUUUUCGUCUUCUCCAUCUUCAUGUAUGGUGCUUUGGCUUAGAGAGAUGAGCACAUUGUCGGUUAAAAAUUCUCUGUUUCAUCCAUGAUGACUCAAGAGCCGGAGGAGCAGUUGAAAGAGUUCGGAUCGAAGCUUGACCCACCUCCUUCGUCUAAGAUUCAUUGCUUAAACUCUAUAAGAUGAUUCUUUAUCUCUAAUUCUCUUGAAAUUUAUCCUCUGCCGAUUAUGUUUAACAAAGUUUUGAUUUUUAAUUUAAUGGUAAUUUUCCAGAUUUGUUCCAUGUUUGAUGAGUUGGUUCGAGGUGAUAAUCACUCCUUCAGGUUCUCUCUAGAUCCACCACUCUUUAUCUUGAAAACAAUAGGGAUGUAAGUUAGUCAAAUGCGUAUGCAACAGAACUCAGCACCGUACAACAUAAUGUCAUUUUUUUGGGCCGGCUUUAUCUGAACGCACCUCUGGCACUCAUUUCUUCUUUGACACCGAGACUUAUGCAGGGCAGAUUUACUAUGAAAGGAAGUACAGACCCUAACCACCGCUGAACUCAAUGGUUAUGUCAUCAAAUCACAGCCUCAGCUUUUUAUUCAUGAAUCAAGACAGUUGACAGUUGUUCAGACUUACAACGGCUGGUGUUACAUUCCCUUCUCCAAGUGCUCCAAGAAGCUCCAGCGAGGUGUUUCUUCCUGCAUAGCAUGUGAUGUCUAAGAAAUAAUGUGGAAUUUGUUCUUAAACAUGUGGAUCUGAUGAUGGUAGCAGCUCCACAACUUCGUAUGAAAAUUUGUACCAGUAACUCUUUCUAAGCUGAACAACACAUUCUCAACUCUAUUUGGUUGCU